UGACUGUUUUGUGAGGGGUUGUGAUGCUUCCAUUCUUCUUGAUUCCACUCCGAAGCACAAAGCAGAGAAAGAAAGCAUGAGAAAUAAGGGAAUAGGAGGCUUUGAGGUGAUAGAUGCAGCAAAGGCUAAGAUAGAGGCUUACUGCCCCAACACAGUUUCAUGUGCAGAUAUUAUUGCCUUUGCAGCUCGUGAUAGUGUUCACCUUACCGGUGGCAAUUACUAUGAUGUUCUCGGAGGCCGCCGCGACGGAACCAUUUCUUUGAUCGGUGAUGCCACUAAAAACCUCCCCGAUGCAUUCUUUAAUGUCACCCAGUUGAAAGAAAACUUUGCAAAGAAGGGUUUGUCACUAGAGGAAUUGGUGACGCUCUCUGGUGUUCACUCUAUCGGUGACUGUCAUUGUUCUUCAUUCUCUAAACGUUUAUAUUCCUUCAAUGCAACGUACCCACAAGAUCCUUCCAUGGUUUCUACCUAUGCCAGUUACUUGAGAGCCAAAUGCCCUAGACCUGUGAAAACGAACUCUGGGGUUGAUCCAAUCGUGCCUUUUGAUCCCCUAACACCAACCAGGCUUGACAAUAAUUACUACAAGAACUUGAAGAGUAAAAAAGGGCUGCUGUUUUCAGAUCAAGUGUUGUGGGAAAGUAGUUUGACAAAGAAGAUGGUGGGG
rnacentral:misc_RNA from 1 species